AACAUUUGUUAUUGAAGUAGCAGUCCUGGGAGUGCAUUCUGACGAAGACAACAAAAGAGAACCUGAACCCUAGGACCAUGCCUCAGGACUACCUGGCAUGAUGACUCCUUGUUGUCCCCAGUCCACCUGCCCGUGCUGCUGCUCCAGUUUCAACUGUUCUGCCUGCGGUUAUGGAACCCUGACCUGUUCACCGGACAUGCUACCUGUCCCAGACCUGCUGUUUUCAACUCUCUAGAGACAGCAGGAGCGGUAGAGAUACUCUCAAUGAUCAGCUAUGAAAAGCCAACUGACAUUUACUCCUGAGGUGCUGACCUGUUGCACCCUCAAAAACUACUGUGAUUAUUAUUAUUUGACCAUGCUGGUCAUUUAUGAACAUUUUAACAUCUCGGCCAUGUUUUGUUAUAAUCUCCACCCGGCACAGCCAGAAGAGGACUGGCCACCCCUCAUAGCCUGGUUCCACUCUGGGUUUCUUCCUAGGUUUUGGCCUUUCUAGGGAGUUUUUCCUAGCCACCAUGCUUCUACACCUGCAUUGCAGGUUUUAGGCUGGGGUUCUGUACAGCACUUUGAGAUAUCAGCUGAUGUAAGAAGAGCUAUAUAAAUACAUUUGAUUUGAUUUGUUUACUGUGUAGCAUUUAGCAUUUCUCACAGUGGAAUCUGAGGAAUUGGUGUUGGUUGUGUGCAUUUGCCAUUAUGUACAAUUUGAAAGACAUAAC
rnacentral:lncRNA from 1 species